CAACGCCAAAGCACGAAAACGGGAAUGCUGAAACACUAGUUGCGAUCGCAGCGCCCCCACCUCUCAGCUUUUGCUCCGCUAGUUGUAAACGUUCUGCUUCACCCGCGCCACCAGUGGCAGACACAGUGCAGUGCCGGCAGUGGCGCGCGCCGUGCCUGAUGCGAACUACUAGAAAUGAAGGUGGUGAGCUGUCGGCCAGUUUGGCGGGAACCGUUACGACGAAGAGGAGUGGUGGAGUUUCCAAGAGGCGCAAACAAAGAACGCAUUCAUGCGAUCUGUGAGUGUAACGAGGAAAACGCGGCUGCUUCGGAUGAAAAAAGUAUCUGAGAAGCCUGCAGAAAGUGGCCACGCUUCCAGCAACCCAAUCCCGUGUCCUGGCGCACUUCUUGAACUGAAGGCAAUUGAGGACAUGGUCACAGAUCCCUUUUGUAUGGACCUUGGGGGA
rnacentral:lncRNA from 1 species